UACGGAGGGGGUUAGCGUUGUUCGGAAUGACUGGGCGUAAAGCGCGCGUAGGCGGAUCAGGAAGUUGGGGGUGAAAUCCCGGGGCUCAACCCCGGAAUGGCCUUCAAAACUCCUGGUCUUGAGUUCGAGAGAGGUGAGUGGAAUUCCUGGUGUAGCGGUGAAAUGCGCAGAUAUCAGGAAGAACACCCGUGGCGAAAGCGGCUCUCUGGAACGGUACUGGACGCUGAGACGCGAAAGCGUGGGGAGCGAACAGG
rnacentral:rRNA from 1 species